AAUGGCAGGUCAGCAUACUGCCGUGAAUACGUUCCCGGGCCCUUGUACACACCGCCCGUCACACCAUGAGAGUUGGGAAUACCCGAAGCCUGUGAGCUAACUUUUAGAGGCAGCAGUCGAAGGUAGAAUCAAUGAUUGGGGUGAAGUCGUAACAAGGUACC
rnacentral:rRNA from 1 species